rnacentral:rRNA from 1 species
GACGAACGCUGGCGGCGUGCUUAACACAUGCAAGUCGAACGGAAAGGCCCUGCUUGCAGGGUACUCGAGUGGCGAACGGGUGAGUAACACGUGGGUGAUCUGCCCUCCACUUCGGGAUAAGCCUGGGAAACUGGGUCUAAUACCUGAUAGGAGCCAUUUUUAGUGUGUUGGUUGGAAAGUUUUUUCGGUGUAGGAUGAUCUCGGGGCCUAUCAGCUUGUUGGUGGGGUAAUGGCCUACCAAGGCGGCGACGGGUAGCCGGCAUGCGAGGGUGGACGGCCAGAUUGGGACUGAGAUACGGGCCAGAGUCCUACGGGAGGCAGCAGUGGGGAAUAUUGCACACUGGGAGCAAGCCUGAUGCAGCGACGCCGCGUGGGGGAUGAGGGCCUUUGGGUUGUAAGAUCCGUUCCAUAGGGACGCAGCUUUUUGUGACGGGAACUAGAUAAGAAGCCCCGGCUAACUACGUG